rnacentral:rRNA from 1 species
GAUGAACGCUGGCGGCGUGCCUAACACAUGCAAGUCGAGCGAUUCUCUUCGGAGAAGAGCGGCGGACGGGUGAGUAACGCGUGGGUAACCUGCCCUGUACACACGGAUAACAUACCGAAAGGUAUGCUAAUACGGGAUAACAUAAGAAAUUCGCAUGUUUUUCUUAUCAAAGCUCCGGCGGUACAGGAUGGACCCGCGUCUGAUUAGCUAGUUGGUGAGGUAACGGCUCACCAAGGCGACGAUCAGUAGCCGACCUGAGAGGGUGAUCGGCCACAUUGGAACUGAGACACGGUCCAAACUCCUACGGGAGGCAGCAGUGGGGAAUAUUGCACAAUGGGCGAAAGCUUGAUGCAGCAACGCCGCGUGAGCGAUGAAGGCCUUCGGGUCGUAAAGCUCUGUCCUCAAGGAAGAUAAUGACGGUACUUGAGGAGGAAGCCCCGGCUAACUACGUGCCAGCCGCCGCCGUAAAAC